CGGGACACGUGGUAUCCUGUCUGAAUAUGGGGGGACCAUCCUCCAAGGCUAAAUACUCCUGACUGACCGAUAGUGAACCAGUACCGUGAGGGAAAGGCGAAAAGAACCCCGGCGAGGGGAGUGAAAAAGAACCUGAAACCGUGUACGUACAAGCAGUGGGAGCACGCUUAGGCGUGUGACUGCGUACCUUUUGUAUAAUGGGUCAGCGACUUAUAUUCUGUAGCAAGGUUAACCGAAUAGGGGAGCCGAAGGGAAACCGAGUCUUAACUGGGCGUUAAGUUGCAGGGUAUAGACCCGAAACCCGGUGAUCUAGCCAUGGGCAGGUUGAAGGUUGGGUAACACUAACUGGAGGACCGAACCGACUAAUGUUGAAAAAUUAGCGGAUGACUUGUGGCUGGGGGUGAAAGGCCAAUCAAACCGGGAGAUAGCUGGUUCUCCCCGAAAGCUAUUUAGGUAGCGCCUCGUGAAUUCAUCUCCGGGGGUAGAGCACUGUUUCGGCAAGGGGGUCAUCCCGACUUACCAACCCGAUGCAAACUGCGAAUACCGGAGAAUGUUAUCACGGGAGACACACGGCGGGUGCUAACGUCCGUCGUGAAGAGGGAAACAACCCAGACCGCCAGCUAAGGUCCCAAAGUCAUGGUUAAGUGGGAAACGAUGUGGGAAGGCCCAGACAGCCAGGAUGUUGGCUUAGAAGCAGCCAUCAUUUAAAGAAAGCGUAAUAGCUCACUGGUCGAGUCGGCCUGCGCGGAAGAUGUAACGGGGCUAAACCAUGCACCGAAGCUGCGGCAGCGACGCUGAUGCGUUGUUGGGUAGGGGAGCGUUCUGUAAGCCUGUGAAGGUGUGCUGUGAGGCAUGCUGGAGGUAUCAGAAGUGCGAAUGCUGACAUAAGUAACGAUAAAGCGGGUGAAAAGCCCGCUCGCCGGAAGACCAAGGGUUCCUGUCCAACGUUAAUCGGGGCAGGGUGAGUCGACCCCUAAGGCGAGGCCGAAAGGCGUAGUCGAUGGGAAACAGGUUAAUAUUCCUGUACUUGGUGUUACUGCGAAGGGGGGACGGAGAAGGCUAUGUUGGCCGGGCGACGGUUGUCCCGGUUUAAGCGUGUAGGCUGGUUUUCCAGGCAAAUCCGGAAAAUCAAGGCUGAGGCGUGAUGACGAGGCACUACGGUGCUGAAGCAACAAAUGCCCUGCUUCCAGGAAAAGCCUCUAAGCAUCAGGUAACAUCAAAUCGUACCCCAAACCGACACAGGUGGUCAGGUAGAGAAUACCAAGGCGCUUGAGAGAACUCGGGUGAAGGAACUAGGCAAAAUGGUGCCGUAACUUCGGGAGAAGGCACGCUGAUAUGUAGGUGAAGCGACUUGCUCGUGGAGCUGAAAUCAGUCGAAGAUACCAGCUGGCUGCAACUGUUUAUUAAAAACACAGCACUGUGCAAACACGAAAGUGGACGUAUACGGUGUGACGCCUGCCCGGUGCCGGAAGGUUAAUUGAUGGGGUCAGCGCAAGCGAAGCUCUUGAUCGAAGCCCCGGUAAACGGCGGCCGUAACUAUAACGGUCCUAAGGUAGCGAAAUUCCUUGUCGGGUAAGUUCCGACCUGCACGAAUGGCGUAAUGAUGGCCAGGCUGUCUCCACCCGAGACUCAGUGAAAUUGAACUCGCUGUGAAGAUGCAGUGUACCCGCGGCAAGACGGAAAGACCCCGUGAACCUUUACUAUAGCUUGACACUGAACAUUGAGCCUUGAUGUGUAGGAUAGGUGGGAGGCUUUGAAGUGUGG
rnacentral:rRNA from 2 species